UACGAAGGGGGCUAGCGUUGCUCGGAAUCACUGGGCGUAAAGGGUGCGUAGGCGGGUCUUUAAGUCAGGGGUGAAAUCCCAGAGCUCAACUCUGGAACUGCCUUUGAUACUGGCAAUCUCGAGUCCGGAAGAGGUGAGUGGAACUCCUAGUGUAGAGGUGGAAUUCGUAGAUAUUCGGAAGAACACCAGUGGCGAAGGCGACACACUGGGCCAUUACUGACGCUGAGGCGCGAAAGCGUGGGGAGCAAACAGG
rnacentral:rRNA from 1 species